CACAUAGUGUAGAAACAAUAUAGUCAAACAAAAUCAAAAGGUCCAAAUCAGAUUAGAGUGUUCACACUCAAGAUGAUAAACACAAAGCGGUUGCUUUAGGACUACGCUGCGCAAUCGUUAUUUAUUUCCCGCCCUUGAAAAAACAAAUCCCCAAUCUUAUUCUUCUUCUUCUUCUUCUUCCUCCCAAUUUCGAGCUCCGAAAAUGGCCGCCGAUCGGCCCCACCCCGCCUUAUACCAGGUUGAGGUGAAGAAUAUAUCAGUCGAGGGUAUUCGCAUCCCACACAUCGAAGACGGCGAGCUGGAGCCUUACGCCUCGUUGCGUGUGGGCGUGAACGAGGAGCCCGAAGCGACCGAUUCCAGAAGCAUCUCCUNNN
rnacentral:lncRNA from 1 species